AUCAAUAAAAUCGAAUCAAAAAACGGCUUUAAUAUUUCGCAUAGUAGUGAGUUUUGCAUCAUAACUUCGCGGACGUGGUCGUCCUGGGAUAGUUAGAAAUGUCUGUAAGGAUAGCAUAGGGCUUGCCAUAGUAUUUGCACAAUUCUGUUUCUUCUUUUUCUCAUGAAAGCUUAUGAAUCGACAAGAGCUUCUCGCUUUUCGAGACUCUAUUUUUAAUGGGUCAGCUACUGAUGCGGGCGUGACCCUGCAUCCCAUAUAGGAAACGGGAUGGGAGAAGGAGCGGCAUAAUUGGAAAUAAGGGUAUAUAGGGGAUUGGAAAUAGGGACACCUGAUAUAGUUCUUCCGAGAAUUGACGCCGCGCCACAUGUUGGAGUAAAAGGAGCUGUGCGGGGUGUGCGGCGGUCGCUCAUGCGUGACCAAAGAAAAGCGGAGCGGCACGCUAUCACAGUUUUACUGUAUAUUGAAAAUUCACCCUGCAGGAUCAUAGAGAAUCUGAGCGUCAGGGCUUGGAGGUCCAACAAUUUCGCAUUCAACAGUAUGCUGAGGCUUUUUGCCAUAAGGGAUACUUCGAAAAGUAUCUGCGUUACGUCUAUAGGUGCCUUUCAUGUUUAACAAAAAAGGGAUUCCAUGAUCAUCAAACAUUUGACACAUGACUUUAUUGUGCAUUACUCCAACGGCGUAAUCCUUCCCUUCUAAAUUUUGUAUUCCUAAGGCAACUGUGUUUCGCACUGUCAAAUAAUGUACAUUCUUGGAUUGAUCUUGAUAAGCAUGAAUAUGGUAA